rnacentral:pre_miRNA from 1 species
AAUAAGUGCAGCCGUGGAUAUCCGUGCCCAACGUUUGGCCGUCCGUCUUAUUUAAAAAUUUUAUGAAAAAUUUAAAAAUAUUUAGUCACACAUAAAAUACUUUUCAUGUUUUAUCAUCUAAUAGCAAUAAAAAUACUAAUCAUAAAAAAAUUUCAAAUAAGAUGAACGGUCAAACGUUGAACGUGAAUAGUGUAAAACUACACUUAUU